rnacentral:rRNA from 1 species
GACAGAGGGUGCAAACGUUGUUCGGAUUUACUGGGCGUAAAGCGCGUGUAGGCGGCUUUGCAAGUCGGAUGUGAAAGCCCUGGGCUUAACCUAGGAAGUGCAUUCGAAACUUCUGAGCUUGAGUUCUGGAGAGGAAGGCGGAAUUCUCGGUGUAGAGGUGAAAUUCGUAGAUAUCGAGAGGAACACCGGUGGCGAAGGCGGCCUUCUGGACAGUGACUGACGCUGAGACGCGAAAGCGUGGGGAGCAAACAGGGAUUAAGAAACCCUAGU